rnacentral:rRNA from 1 species
GACGAACGCUGGCGGCGUGCUUAACACAUGCAAGUCGAACGGAAAGGCCCUGCUUUUGUGGGGUGCUCGAGUGGCGAACGGGUGAGUAACACGUGAGUAACCUGCCCUUGACUUUGGGAUAACUUCAGGAAACUGGGGCUAAUACCGGAUAGGAGCUCCUGCUGCAUGGUGGGGGUUGGAAAGUUUCGGCGGUUGGGGAUGGACUCGCGGCUUAUCAGCUUGUUGGUUGGGUAGUGGCUUACCAAGGCUUUGACGGGUAGCCGGCCUGAGAGGGUGACCGGCCACAUGGGGACUGAGAGACGGCCCAGACUCCUACGGGAGGCAGCAGUGGGGAAUAUUGCACAAUGGGCGGAAGCGUGAUGCAGAAACGCCGCGUGCGGGAUGACGGCCUUCGGGUUGUAAACCGCUUUCGCCUGUGACGAAGAGUGAGUGACGGUAAUGGGUAAAGAAGCACCGGCUAACUACGUG